rnacentral:sRNA from 1 species
AUUCUGCUUCAGUCGUGGACAAAG